rnacentral:rRNA from 1 species
AACGUAGGAGGCGAGCGUUAUCCGGAUUUACUGGGCGUAAAGGGUGUGCAGGCGGGCCGUUAAGUGGUGCAUGAAAGCGAAGGGCUCAACCCUUCGAGGCUGUGCCAGACUGGCGGUCUGGAGUGCGGGAGAGGGCUGUGGAAUUCCGGGUGUAGUGGUGAAAUGCGUAGAGAUCCGGAGGAACACCAGAGGCGAAGGCGGCAGCCUGGCCCGCAACUGACGCUGAGACACGACAGCAUGGGGAG